rnacentral:rRNA from 1 species
CGGGUGAGUAAUGCCUAGGAAUCUGCCUGGUAGUGGGGGACAACGUUUCGAAAGGAACGCUAAUACCGCAUACGUCCUACGGGAGAAAGCAGGGGACCUUCGGGCCUUGCGCUAUCAGAUGAGCCUAGGUCGGAUUAGCUAGUUGGUGAGGUAAUGGCUCACCAAGGCUACUAUCCGUAACUGGUCUGAGAGGAUGAUCAGUCACACUGGAACUGAGACACGGUCCAGACUCCUACGGGAGGCAGCAGUG